UCUACGGGCGGCAGCAGUGGGGAAUAUUGGACAAUGGGCGAAAGCCUGAUCCAGCAAUGCCGCGUGAGUGAUGAAGGCCUUAGGGUUGUAAAGCUCUUUUACCCGGGAUGAUAAUGACAGUACCGGGAGAAUAAGCCCCGGCUAACUCCGUGCCAGCAGCCGCGGUAAUA
rnacentral:rRNA from 1 species